CCACUUAUCUUUCUACAUUCGUUAUAAAUCGGUAGGGUAUGGAUAGUAUUUUACUCUCAUGAGAAACAUGCGUAUCGAUAUAAGAUUCUUGUAUCCACACCAUACAUUAAAUUGCCACCCUUAAUAGCGAGCUACCCGUUUACUAGUAGAUGACAUAAAAAAUCGAAACAAAUGAACACAUGAAAUUGUGCAGCAGCUCCACGAUCCAUAUCCGUCACGCUUCAGGAACACGAAUGCUAACUCAAUCAACUAAGUAACGCUGGCUCAUCAUCAUCAGCUGGCGGUGAGGACAAAGAGCCGUCCCCGUCGGCGUCGCGACGGCGGCAGCAGCACAGGAGGAAGAUUACGCCGACCGUGGCCCCGGCGAUGGCCAUGAGGGCAGCACCGGCGAGGACGACCGUCCCGCCGCCGUCCUCCCCCGCCUCGGGCGGGAGGUAGAAGUUGCCGAGCAGUAUGUAGUAGAUGCCGACGAAGAAGACGAAGUAGGCCGCGAUGCCGACGUAGAUGAGCCCGACGUCGCCAUUGCCGGAGCCGGCCGGGGUCUCAUCAUCGUCCUUGUUGCCGCCGUCCUCAAGGUCCCUGUAUUCCCCUGCAGCCGCCAUUGCCGCCGCCUCCUCCUCCUCCGGACCGGCGGCCGGCUUCCACCUGGAGAUUGAUUAUGCUCUGGAUUAUUAGUCGCACAAGAACCCCAAACAAAUUGCAUGCAUGCAUGCGAUGAUGAGUCGGUUGGUGGAUGGAUGGAUCGACGAUCUGUAGUACCUGAAAAUCUUGGUCAUCGUGUUCGUGAGUGUUGGGAAGACGGGAGGAAAGAGAGGAUCGAUGAGUUUUUUUAACUUUUUUUUUGAACUUGGGGAUCGUGGGGGUUUUUAGUUAUGCGCGGAAAAAAAUCUGUAACAACCUCCCAACUAAUCUGUAGUAAAUCCGAUCUGUUACCGUACCAGCUUUUUUAGGGUUUUUUCAGAGUCGCAGCUCGAGAGACG
rnacentral:lncRNA from 1 species